rnacentral:rRNA from 1 species
CGUACACUCCUACGGGAGGCAGCAGUGGGGAAUUUUGGACAAUGGGCGAAAGCCUGAUCCAGCCAUGCCGCGUGCAGGAUGAAGGCCUUCGGGUUGUAAACUGCUUUUGUACGGAACGAAACGGCCUUUUCUAAUAAAGAGGGCUAAUGACGGUACCGUAAGAAUAAGCACCGGCUAACUACGUGCCAGCAGCCGCGGUAAUACGUAGGGUGCAAGCGUUAAUCGGAAUUACUGGGCGUAAAGCGUGCGCAGGCGGUUAUGUAAGACAGUUGUGAAAUCCCCGGGCUCAACCUGGGAACUGCAUCUGUGACUGCAUAGCUAGAGUACGGUAGAGGGGGAUGGAAGUCCGCGUGUAGCAGUGAAAUGCGUAGAUAUGCGGAGGAACACCGAUGGCGAAGGCAAUCCCCUGGACCUGUACUGACGCUCAUGCACGAAAGCGUGGGGAGCAAACAGGAUUAGAAACCCCAGUAGUCCCAUGAU